UACGGAGGGAGCUAGCGUUAUCCGGAUUUAUUGGGUUUAAAGGGUGCGUAGGCGGAAUUGUAAGUCAGUGGUGAAAGCCCUUCGCUUAACGAAGGAACUGCCAUUGAUACUGCAAAUCUUGAGUACAUUUGAUGUGGGCGGAAUGUGUCAUGUAGCGGUGAAAUGCUUAGAUAUGACACAGAACACCGAUUGCGAAAGGCAGCUCACAAAACGUGUA
rnacentral:rRNA from 1 species